CCUUCGGGGUACACGAGCGGCGAACGGGUGAGUAACACGUGGGUGAUCUGCCUCGCACUUCGGGAUAAGCCUGGGAACUGGGUCUAAUACCGGAUAUGACCACGGAUCGCAUGGUUUGUGGUGGAAAGGUUUACUGGUGCGAGAUGGGCCCGCGGCCUAUCAGCUUGUUGGUGGGGUAAUGGCCUACCAAGGCGACGACGGGUAGCCGGCCUGAGAGGGCGACCGGCCACACUGGGACUGAGACACGGCCCAGACUCCUACGGGAGGCAGCAGUGGGGAAUAUUGCACAAUGGGCGAAAGCCUGAUGCAGCGACGCCGCGUGAGGGAUGACGGCCUUCGGGUUGUAAACCUCUUUCGACAGGGACGAAGCGCAAGUGACGGUACCUGUAGAAGAAGCACCGGCCAACUACGUG
rnacentral:rRNA from 1 species